CGAAGGGGCUAGCGUUGUUCGGAAUCACUGGGCGUAAAGGGCGCGUAGGCGGCCUGAUAAGUCGGGGGUGAAAGCCUGUGGCUCAACCACAGAAUUGCCUUCGAUACUGUCGGGCUUGAGACCGGAAGAGGUAAGUGGAACUGCGAGUGUAGAGGUGAAAUUCGUAGAUAUUCGCAAGAACACCAGUGGCGAAGGCGGCUUACUGGUCCGGUUCUGACGCUGAGGCGCGAAAGCGUGGGGAGCAAACAGGAUU
rnacentral:rRNA from 1 species